UAGCAUCUCGGGCACCCUAUUCAUGUCAGAAUUGUUGUGUGUCAUUUUUUUUUGCAAUCUCUGCUUCGGCAAGUAGAUAAACCGGCAAAUUUUUCUUUGUUUUCCACGAUUUGAUAAAUCUGUGUGUUUAUCGUAUCUUGACGUAAUGCUGGGAAUUUGGAUCCCUAAACUAGGCAGUAGGUAGGGGGAAACACCGCAGUGGAUCCAUCGCCAUCGCGUGGAUCAGCCUCAUUCACUCGAUAUUUAAUUGGUUAAACAAGAAUAUAAUUGCAUCUUUAAGCAUACCAUUCAAAAGAUUGAAGUUUCUUCAACAUAAUGUGAUAUAUGAAAGCGCCAUACGAACUAAAAUAAGCAUGUGAGGUCUUCGUCAAAUAUGUUUUCAAGGCAGUUUUGAAAUCCAAUAUGGCUGCACCCGCGUGAGGUGCCGUUCGUAACCGCACCGGAAACACCAUCUUUCCCAGCCUUGCCACCACUCAUUUGAACAAUGUCAGCGAAUAUAUGUAACGUUUAUUGAUCUUACUCAAGAUUGCAGUUGUAAUGAGCACAAUAAAACAACGUUUUGUUGUCUAUAUUAGUGAAAGUAUGAAACUUCUUAUUCCCUGGGUCAUGGUUUGAACUGAAAUUCAUUUUUACCUUGUAAUCACAACUAAAACUCCACAGUGCUUAUUUGAUUGUAAUUAUAUAUGUUUUGGUCUUAAUUCACUCAAAAUUGCAUUUGGUUCCUAAGCGCUCACUCCACAAGCACAGUUGCAGGCAGCACACGAGUACACAGUUUAUGAGGUGCAAAGCUUUAUUCCCUUAAUUGUUUACUUUACUCAUUAUUUAGUUUAACUUUACUUUGUUACUUUAAAAUGUUUAUUUAAUUCAUGUCUAUUAUCCCUUUUUUGCAACCAAAUUAACCCCCUAAAAUUGCAGAAUUUUCUAAAUUAGAUACGAACAGACUACGGCAAAAUGUCAUCGUUGCCAAUUUAGUGGAGCUUCACACAUACGCCGAUGCAUUUACAAACUUGUUUCCAUGAAUUCAAGUUGUCAUAGUACUGCAAUAAUGAUAAAAUUGCCCUAAUAUGUAUAUAUACUACAAAUAGAUAUGCUAAUUUCACUAAUUUCCCUGGUUUUGUGUAAGUAUUAUACCAAGUUUGGAGGGUAAACACAUACCAGUUGGAGCGUGAACAACGCCGUAGGUACUGUUCACAGCAAAACUGUUGAUAUUUGAGUAAGGAAUCUAUUUACUUUUUCAACAACAAAUAUUUUCAAAUUAAUAAUCAUGAAUAUGUAAAAAAUUUAUGCAAUUCAUGACCUUAGACUGCAUUUAACUAUUUAUUUAAAUAAUUAUCUAGUGCACGCUUCAUCUUCUUUCUACCGAAAAAGCGUCAGUUUCCUUGGAUCCCUCAAAGCCAUCGUCAUUGUUGACGAUUGUUGUGAAGAAAGUACCCCAGCGUCUAUGGGUACAAGUGGUGUGCGGAUAUACGACAUGGAAUGGAAAGUUUAUUGACACAAGUGACUCCACAAACAUCGAGAUGGCAUCAAUCUUCUAAAUUGUUAGUGUUAUAAGUCAAAAUUUCGAAAGCGUCAUGGAGGUAUGUUUGCACUGCGCAUGGCUAGACUUUCACUAACCUCUCUUUAAUCUUAUAAUAGGGGAAACAACCGACUGGACUAGCUGAUCCAGUUUUCACCGCGUGUGCCCUCACCACCAAUGACUCGUGACUGGUGACUAUCUCCGGUGUCAGGAUGUGUUAAAGUGCUUUUUUGGAGGGUGGAUCCACAUGCGGUGAAAACUGGAUCAGCUAGUCCAGUCGGUUGUUUCCCAUAUUUUCAGAUUAAAGAGAGGUUAAUAAAAGUCGAGCCAUGCGCAGUGCAAACUUACCUCCCUGACGCUUUUGACAUUUUUACUUAAAACAACUUGCGCGUAGAAGAUUGACGUCAUCUUGAUGUUUGUGCUAGUUGUGCAAAAUCCGCACACCACUUGUACCCACCCAUAGACGCCGGGACACUUUCUUCACAACAAUCGUAAACAAUGACGCCAUUCACCCUUAAGUCCAAGGAAACUCGCGAUUUUUCGGUAGAAAGAAGAAGCGUACGCUAGAUAAUUAUUUAAAUAAAUAAUUAAACAUCAGUAUAAGGUCAUGAAUUGCAUAAAUUUUGUGCAUAUUCAUGAUAAUCAAUUUGAACAUAUUUGUUGUUGAAAAAGUAACUAGAUUCCUGACUCAAAUAUCAACAGUUUUGCUGUGAAUAGUACCUACGGUGUUGUUCGCACUCUCUUAUUGUUUAUCAGUGUUACCAAUUGUUAUAUAUGUGUUUACCCUCCAAACUGGGUACUAUAAGACUUACACAAAACUGUGGAAAUAAGUAAAAUUAGCAUAUCUAUUGGUAGUAUAUAUACUUAUUAAAGCAAUUUUCAUUAUUGCAUUACUAUGACAACUAGAAUUCAUGGAAACAGUUUGCAAAUGCAUCGGCAUAUGUGUGAAGCCCCACUAAAUUGGCAACAAUGAAAUUUUGCCAUUCCUAGCAUGCAAGCAUUAAAGGUUACAUUUAUUUCAGGCAUAAAUACAAUUAUUAAAAAUAAAAAUGUCAAAAUAGUCAUGUAGACUUGAAUCAAUGAAAAUUGCUGUAAAAAAUAAAAAAAAAUUUGUCAUAAACAAUCCACUAAUCUGUUGUCUACUCGCCUGUGCUUUUGGCAGCCAUAUGUACGUACAGGGUGUCGAUGCAGAUUACGAAAGGGAAAAAGACGCCAUAUUGGAUUUAAAAACUGCUUUGAAAACAUAUUUUACGAAGAUCUCACAUGCUUAUUUUAGUUCGUAUGGCGCUUUCAUAUAUCACAUUAUGUUGACGAAACUUCAAUCUUUUGAAUGGUAUGCUUAAAGAUGUAAUUGUAUUCUUGUUUCACCAAUUAAAUAUCUAGUGAAUAAGGGUGAUCUACCUGAGUACGAUGGAUUCAAGGCGGUUGUUUCCCUUAUUAAGACUUUACCGUUAUUUUUGGGGGGUCGACUAUAAUUAACCCACAGGGGCCAGUACUAAACACGGCAAAAUACAUUUAACGUCCUAAUCCCAUAUUCGCGGGACCAUUCAUCAUCCGAGGAUUAUACAAAUUUUUUUAAGGAUGGAUAAUGAAACUUUCUCCAAGACAUGGGAUUAGUAACACCAUUACAUUGUAAAACAUGAUACCAAUAUGAGAGAUGCCGUACUGCCAUGUCAGAGACUUUCAAGUAUACUCUGCGGUUCCUUGCCUCAAGCCAAACUUUUGAAGACUUGGAAUUUACUACCCGCAUAUCUGCACAGAGGCUUGGCAGAAUUAUACUGGAGACAUGCCGUGCAAUAAUAAAGGUGCUCAAAUACAACAUUAAGGUUGUUGGUCGUCAUCGUACAGCCCCUACCAGUUAUGACACAGUUUUCUUCAAAAGGUUGAUUACUUUUAUGUAGAUUCUUCACUUGUGAAGAAAUCAAAUCUUGAUCCAUGUUCCUUACAAGAAUAUACAGCACUCUUCUUCCAUAUGCCUAAUUGUAAGUUUUGGUUAUUUCCUAACAAUUAAAUACAACUUUCAAUGAUCCUCACGGGAGAAUUAAUUAACAUGCAGUCUGAAAAUUAUUCAAGUUCACCAAUGGAGCAAACGAGUAAUAAUUAAGAGAGCCACUAAAAGAAAACCUAGGUGAUUAUUAUUGUCUUUGAGGCUAACUCUAUCUUAUAAUUUCCUGAAAGCUGCAUUUUACACUUUCACACAAGACUGCUACAGAAGGUCUUCGAAAGGAAAUAGUAGGGUCCUACUUAUAACUACUAAACCGUUUAUAUUCCUAAAAGAUACUAGUAUAUCAAUAUGAAGUACCAACAUUGAACGCAUUUGGAAAAUUUAACGUGGAACCCAAAAACAGGACUGCACAUCAGCUAGAUUGUGCAAUUUUUUCUUUAUACAAAUCACAAUUACCUUAUACUCAUCAUUCUGAUAAGUGAAAUUUCUAAUCAUUUCCUUGAGUAAAUUAAAACAAUUUGAUGUAGUAGAAAUUCAGAAUAUAAGGUAAUAAAUGGUGGAAAAAAUUGUGCAAAUAUACAUUUAGUAGUGAACAACACAUUGUAAAUGGUUGACUUGUGCAAGAUUUAUAUACAUAAAGAAACAGAAGAUUGUGACAAAAUACAAUACAUUUAAUAUUAAAAUGAGUGAGAUAGCAAAGGCAAUUUUUGAUGUGUAAAUAAAAUUAGACAUCCCUUUAUUUCAUUUGUUAGAUUAUCACACCAAAGACUUCUAGUUAUUUGUGGCAAAGCCCCAUUAUCAACUUGGAAAACACAUAUGUACUAAUACAGUAAUCUACUGUCAAAUUAAAAGGAAAACUUACUUCAGCGCAAAAUUGGUCAAAGUAACUCGUUAUUCCACCCUUACCUCAAA